CGUGUAUUUCGCCAAGGAGCUCGACCGUCCCCGGACGAAGUGACCGCGAUGAUCGAUGAUCACAAGGACCGCUUCGGGGUCGAGCCGAUCUGUCGGGUGCUGGAGUUCCCGCCC
rfam:Saccharopolyspora erythraea NRRL2338 complete genome